rnacentral:rRNA from 1 species
GAGUGGCGAACGGGUGAGUAACACGUGGGUAAUCUGCCUUGCACUCUGGGAUAAGCCUGGGAAACUGGGUCUAAUACCGGAUACGACNAUCUCGNCGCAUGCGGUGGGGUGGAAAGUUCUGGCGGUGCAGGAUGAACCCGCGGCCUAUCAGCUUGUUGGUGGGGUAAUGGCCUACCAAGGCGACGACGGGUAGCCGGCCUGAGAGGGUGACCGGCCACACUGGGACUGAGACACGGCCCAGACUCCUACGGGAGGCAGCAGUGGGGAAUAUUGCACAAUGGGCGCAAGCCUGAUGCAGCGACGCCGCGUGAGGGAUGACGGCCUUCGGGUUGUAAACCUCUUUCGCCAGGGACGAAGCGAGAGUGACGGUACCUGGAUAAGAAGCACCGGCUAACUACGUGCCAGCAGCCGNGGUAAUACGUAGGGUGCGAGCGUUGUCCGGAAUUAUUGGGCGUAAAGAGCUCGUAGGCGGUUUGUCGCGUCGGCCGUGAAAUCUCCACGCUUAACGUGGAGCGUGCGGUCGAUACGGGCAGACUUGAGUUCGGUAGGGGAGACUGGAAUUNCU